rnacentral:rRNA from 1 species
CCUACGGGAGGCAGCAGUGGGGAAUCUUGCGCAAUGGGCGAAAGCCUGACGCAGCAACGCCGCGUGCGGGAAGAAGGCUUUCGGGCUGUAAACCGCUUUCAGCAGGAACGAAAAUGACGGUACCUGCAGAAGAAGGAGCGGCCAACUAUGUGCCAGCAGCCGCGGUGAUACAUAGGCUUCAAGCGUUGUCCGGAUUUAUUGGGCGUAAAGAGUUCGUAGGCGGUCAAGUAAGUCGGGUGUGAAAAUUCUGGGCUCAACCCAGAGACGCCACCCGAUACUGCUUAACUUGAGUUCGAUAGGGGAGUGGGGGAAUUCCUAGUGUAGCGGUGAAAUGCGCAGAUAUUAGGAGGAACACCGGUGGCGAAGGCGCCACUCUGGAUCGAUACUGACGCUGAGGAACGAAAGCAUGGGUAGCAAACAGGAUUAGAUACCCUGGUAGUCCAUGCCGUAAACGGUGGGCACUAGGUGUGGGUUUCUAUUAACGAAAUCCGCGCCGUCGCUAACGCAUUAAGUGCCCCGCCUGGGGAGGUACGGUCGCGAGACUAAACUUAAAUAGAAUAGACGGCGUGAGACGUGCCGACGGACGACGACGAGGGAGUAGG